rnacentral:lncRNA from 1 species
AAAAAAAAAAUUAAAUACCAAAAUUCUUUUCAUCACUCUCUCUCUCUCAAACUUUUCCCACCCCAAACACUCUAUUCACCAUGGACAGGGAGUCAUUUAGUGCCCAAUCUUCUACUAUCAUUUUGUAAGCCAAGUCUCUCAAACUUGAAAAAGAAUUCAGUUUACACAGAAAUUUCAAAGUAGAUCAAAAUCUGUGUUCUAGAGAGAGAUACAGCGAUGGCGAUGUCGACGGCCUCCUUCUGCACAUCCUCCUUCAUAUCGGCGCUUUUGAUGAUGACUUUCUUCUUCGGCGCUGGCGAGGGCUUCCGAUCGUCGGAGGGGAACCUGACUAUGAGAGCUCCGGCUCCGAUUCUCUUCGCCUCCUCACUCAUUUUCCUUCGAUUUUCGAUUUUGAUUUGGCGGAGAGAGAGCUUUUUUUUUCUGGUAGAGAGAGUAGAGGUGAAGAAAUGCAGGGAGAGACAGAGAGAGCAAUUUCUC